GGUGAAUACGUUCCCGGGCCUUGUACACACCGCCCGUCACACCAUGGGAGUGGGUUGCAAAAGAAGUAGGUAGCUUAACCUUCGGGAGGGCGCUUACCACUUUGUGAUUCAUGACUGGGGUGAAGUCGUAACAAGGUAACCGUAGGGGAACCUGCGGUUGGAUCACCUCCUUACCUGAAAGAA
rnacentral:rRNA from 1 species